rnacentral:rRNA from 1 species
UACAGAGGGGCGAGCGUUGUUCGGAAUUACUGGGCGUAAAGGGCGCGUAGGCGGCCUUCUAAGUCGAACGUGAAAUCCCCGGGCUCAACCCGGGAACUGCGUCCGAUACUGGGAGGCUUGAAUCCGGGAGAGGGAUGUGGAAUUCCAGGUGUAGCGGUGAAAUGACGUAGAUAUCUGGAGGAACACCGGUGGCGAAGGCGGCAUCCUGGACCGGUAUUGACGCUGAGGCGCGAAAGCCAGGG